rnacentral:rRNA from 1 species
GACGAACGCUGGCGGCGUGCCUAAUACAUGCAAGUAGAACGCUGAAGGGAGAGCUUGCUCUUCUGGAUGAGUUGCGAACGGGUGAGUAACGCGUAGGUAACCUGCCUGGUAGCGGGGGAUAACUAUUGGAAACGAUAGCUAAUACCGCAUAACAUUGACUAUUGCAUGAUAGUCAAUUGAAAGGUGCAAUUGCACCACUACCAGAUGGACCUGCGUUGUAUUAGCUAGUUGGUGGGGUAACGGCUCACCAAGGCGACGAUACAUAGCCGACCUGAGAGGGUGAUCGGCCACACUGGGACUGAGACACGGCCCAGACUCCUACGGGAGGCAGCAGUAGGGAAUCUUGGCA